rnacentral:lncRNA from 1 species
CUUUAAGUUGCCAAUAUUUAAAGGAAUAAAUAAAUCUUUCAUUCCCAAAUUUUACUUACCCCUGACAUUAUUAUUCUGACACUGUCAGCUAUGCUAAUUUCAUAAAGAAAUUUUUAGAUUUAGUGAAAUUGUUCAAUAAAUCAUUUCCCUUUCUUGUAAGUAUAUCUCAGGUAUGAGUAGAAAAAUAAAUCAAACCCAGAAACUUUUAAUUUGAUAGAGAUUAUAGUCAUUAACUGAAAUCUUGUUUUGAAUUUUAAGUUAUACGAUUAUCAAUGAAUUCAUUAUCUAUGUAUAUCUGCAACAUGUGUUUUUUUUUAUUAGUAUGUGUGUCCUAAUAAAAAAAUUCUAGACCGUCUUUGGAAGAGAAGUUGAAUUUCUUUCACAAAUUCUGCUACUCAAAAGCAUACAUUUUCUAAAUUUGUAAGAUGUAAAGUAGGGCUGUUUUAUGGUAGAGUAUUUUAAUGUUAAUGUGAAACACCUGGCAAUCUUCUUAGAGUGCCGAUUCUGCUUUAGCAGGUCUCAGGUGAAGCCUGAGAUUCUGCAUUUCCAACAAGUUCUCAGCUGCUGCCGCUGCUGCUGCUACUGCUGCUGCUGCUGCUUCCAGUCUGGACAUAUUUAAUAGCAAUUGGGUAGAGCACCAAAUAUGCAGUCAGAAAAUUUUACUUCGAACAUUACAUCUACCAUUUACUAGCUAUAGAAAUUAGGCUAAGUCACACCUGCUCACUUUUUCCAUCUCUGUUGUUCUUACUUUAUUUAGUCUAAGCCACCAUCAUUUGUCAGCUCUGGCAUAGCCUCUUCAUUGUUUUCUCAGCAUCUGACCUUGCCCCUCUCCAGUCCACUCUCCAGACCACAGCUCAAGUAACAGUUCUUAAAAAUACUAAUCUUAUCCUAUGGACAACUGCCUAAACCUCCCUUACCAGCUUUUAAUGACUCUCCUCAAAGAUAAAAUUCCAAAUUGUUACCAUAAUCCAUUAAGUCCCAGUCUGCCUCUUUCAUCUUAUCUCGCUCUCUCUUCUCAUUGUUCCUUAGGUUUCACCAAAUGGGCUUUUCCUUUGUUGCCUAGGUGUGAUCCCCAGACGAUAAUCCAGAUUAACACUCAUUCCAGGUAAUAUAAAACCCAACCUAAAGUUAAAUAGGAUUUUGAAGUUUGCUCUCACUUGGAAACAAAGUUCAAGAAGGAAAAAUGUUAUAUGCUGCUACUACAAACUAAUUGAAUUUGAAAUUUGGGCAGUUUUGAAGAUUGCCGCCCUAUUGUUGUUGUUGUUAAAGCUGUUAGUACUAUUUAAAACUGAACAAGUACGUUCCUGUUUGGCAUUUGUAAUAGUGUGUGGUACAUAGUAAGAGCCCAAUAGAAAUGAUCUUCCUGAUAGUGUUGCUUAUGAGAAACUAAUAAGCUAAAUUUAGUAGUAUGUAUUAUGUAAAGUACACAUAAAUUUAGUGUACACAUAAAUUUAGUAAAUUUAGUAGUACUAGUAUGUAAAGUAUACAACACAGCAUGUCCUCAAAAAUGCUAGUUUCUGACUCACCUUAUAGGCCGCUUGUCAACCUGUAACUAUCUAUGUUGCUAUUCAUCUGUGCUUUUUGGGUGCUUUCCUGUAGCACCUGAUCCAUUUUACAGUACAAGUGGCUGAGCUUCAGUAAUGGGCAGAUGACUCAUUCUGAAGAUUGGAGAUUAUGUUAAGCAUCAGGGCAGUGAGGGUGGAAAAUAAAAGCUCCAUAAAAGAAGAGAGAAAUAGAAAA